GCAGAGAGGUCACACCCGUUCCCAUACCGAACACGGAAGUUAAGCUCUCUAGCGCCGAUG
rnacentral:rRNA from 1 species